GAGGGCAGAACUCAGUGGUAGAGUGCAUGCUUAGCGUGCACAAGGUCCUGGGUUCACUUCCCAGUACCUCCU
rnacentral:tRNA from 1 species